GUUGUUAUCUAUCAUUUAAGCGACCUUCAGCAGUUGGGAUUACGGGUUAUCGACCUGAUUAUGUUUUCGUGUAUUGGUGAAUACUUUUCAUUGCCUUCGAAGAAAAAUCUGUUCAUGGAUUGAAAACAUGAUUUUAUGGGCUUGGGGUGGACCAAGAACAAGCAAUGCUUGGAUGGUGAUCAUGGUGUGAGUCGUGCAAGAAUUUAAUUCAUUCCCUUAGUAGUGUCCUGUUUUUUUAAGCUUCGUAGGUACCAUUUGUUGAUUUUUUUAUGCCAAGGUUUUGCUUCUUUGGUUUUUACUUUUUGGACAGUUUCUGUUGCUAUAUCUUGCCAGCAAACCCCUCGAAUCAUUUCCUUGUAUUAGUAUGUGGUCUUAUAUUCAAGUUAAUGAUACUUUUUCUUUCUUCGUUCUAAACAAGAUAUUAUUCAUGGUAUGCUGGAAGUUUUUCUUAGGCACGCCCCUAAGCAAAAUCUUCGCUCUGGCACUGAGUAUUAGAAAUGCUUGGUUAGACUAAUUUAGCUAGUUGAGGUAAGCCUAUCGGACGCAUAUAGGUCAAAUAAUGUCCCUUUACAGUCAUAUAUCCCUACAUUUUUAUUUUGUUUUCAUGAUGUUACAAAUGUGUUAGACUAUUUAGCAAUUGGCCAAGGCAAUCAGGUAAUUGUUUUGAUGAAGGAUAUUGCAUUUAAUGGACUAAGCUUAGUUUGCAGGCUCAUGAAUCUUCUAAGACACAUAUGGAUGACUAGGGAGAAAUGCUAGAAGAAUGCUGAUCUUUUUCUUUUCUUUUUUUGGGUUGUAGGUCAAUAUUGCCAUCAUGCAAGCAUCUGACUUUAGAAAGUUUUUUUCAUGAGGUCUCCUUGAGACUACGAUCGAAUACAUCAUUUACGGUGCAGCACUUGGAGCAAGCUAUAAUUAAGGAUUAAUCCGAGUUGCUCUGUUCCCGCCUCUGACUUUUUGCAGGUCUUUCGAGACAGAUCAAUACUCAAGAUUGUUCAAAAGUGAUGAAUGCCACGAUGAUGAGGAUCAACUGAGUUAGAUUGUUUUACCGGUCCUGGCAUGAGGAACCCAGAGAACAAAGGCAUCAUGGUGUAACACAAGCUGGCCAAGAUAGACGCAACUUGGACAUUCGGUGUCAACGCAACCAGCAACAUGCCAAGGAGUGUUGGAAGGAUCAAGAUGAGGCUGCUCUUCUGAGGGCUUUUUAUGGGAAAUGAUAGUCCGAGAUUUUCCUGGGGCUGAACAAUUUAUAUUUCAACAAAUACAAUUUCACCGAACAGCACUUGCCACUUCCAUUUCCAAUGCCUUGACAACAUGCUGAGAAGUCAAGUGUUUCCCGCACAGUCAUUUCAGAGAUGUGCAUGUCAUAUUGGCUCAUAUAACAAGAUGUCUUCUGGGGUCCUAGACUAGUUUGGCAUGCAUCACAAUAGUGCAUGUUACCAAUACGGUUGAGCUUCAUCCAUGUUACGUGAACGCAUGGACGGACCUGUGUUCUGGAAAAGUUCUGCCCGAACACAAAACGAGUAAAAUCAUUGCAGGACUAUUUUUACAUGGAAACUAAACUCCAAGCUCUGGAACAUCGACCACUGAUCUGGUCUUCCCCUUAUUUUCUUUUGUGCCAUGUAAGCUGCCGCAAUCAAAUAAGCAUGUUCUUAGUCGUUUCAACGAGGGUAAUUUCUCAAUGGCAGCCCAUGCUUUUUCAUCUUCUUUAUCAUGUUCCCCGAAUAACCAUAUAUCCGAAGUAGGCGAACUAUGUGAAGUAGUCGUGGUAGCUCGGGAACUUUGUGCAAUAUGAUGCUGUAAGGUUGAGUUUAUGCUGCCUCCUCCUAUCUCCCCCGCUUCCAUUCCAAGGGAUUUUAUUUCU